rnacentral:rRNA from 1 species
GACGAACGCUGGCGGCGUGCUUAACACAUGCAAGUCGAACGGAAAGGCCCUGCUUUUGUGGGGUGCUCGAGUGGCGAACGGGUGAGUAACACGUGAGUAACCUGCCCUUGACUUUGGGAUAACUUCAGGAAACUGGGGCUAAUACCGGAUAGGAGCUCCUGCUGCAUGGUGGGGGUUGGAAAGUUUCGGCGGUUGGGGAUGGACUCGCGGCUUAUCAGCUUGUUGGUGGGGUAGUGGCUUACCAAGGCUUUGACGGGUAGCCGGCCUGAGAGGGUGACCGGCAACAUUGGGACUGAGAUACGGCCCAGACUCCUACGGGAGGCAGCAGUGGGGAAUAUUGCACAAUGGGCGGAAGCCUGAUGCAGCAACGCCGCGUGCGGGAUGAAGGCCUUCGGGUUGUAAAACGCUUUCGCCUGUGACGAAGCGUGAGUGACGGUAAUGGGUAAAGAAGCACCGGCUAACUACGUG